rnacentral:rRNA from 1 species
UACAGAGGUCUCAAGCGUUGUUCGGAUUCAUUGGGCGUAAAGGGCGUGUAGGCGGCGGGGUCAGUCGGGUGUGAAAUCUUGGGGCUUAACCCCGAAACGGCACUCGAAACUGCCCGGCUGGAGGGCCGGAGAGGAGAUCGGAAUUCACGGUGUAGCAGUGAAAUGCGUAGAGAUCGUGAGGAAGACACGUGGCGAAGGCGGAUCUCUGGACGGCUAACUGACGCUGAGGCGCGAAGGCCAGGGGAGCAAACGGG